rnacentral:misc_RNA from 1 species
AUUGGAAAGUAAUUUAUAAAAUGUUCACUAAAGUUAAAAAGUUAAUAUUAUGAGUAAAAAUAAAUUUAUUGAUGCGUAUUUUAUGAAAAGAGAUUCAUAAAAUUUAAAAGCUACUUUUGCAACUCCAAAGUGACCAUUCAUUCUUUAGAAGAGAAGAAUAUAUAAGAUGUUAGUCCCUUCUAAAGUCAAUUACUAGUUCCACCACUGCGACUGACAUUGCUUGGCUGAAUGGUAACUGUAUCUUUAUAGCCAAUAACAUUCUAAGCAGUCAUAGACAUAUCAUCUUGAACAAACUAAAAUAAUUUCUUAGCCUAUGGAAGCAUACAUAACUCAAACCCUAGGCUUUCCAAAGGGAUAGUUUUUAUCUAUACAGUGAUCAAGUUAUAAAUAUAUCAUCAAUGCUCUUCUGCAGAGAAUGUCAUCUCCCAAUUUGAUGCACUUAAGAAGGAACAGCUAUCAUCAGCUUUAUCAGUAACAUGCAUUUCCAUUACAAGGUCACCAUAGUAGGAAAAAAAAAAUGCACAUCAUUGAUAUAGUAGCACUCCAAAAUACAACUAUUAUCCACUGGGGAUAAGCAUCCCUAUUUAUCUGGAUUCUUAACACCCUACAACUGUAAUGAGAAUAGCAGGCGUGCAGCUUAAAACAAAUUAAAAGCAUUUUGAAUCUUCAAAAGUAGCUCAAACAAUAAUGAAAAUCAAUAAUCUAAUCAUUUAAGAUAAAGAAAAGCAGCCAAAAGACCAAACCAACCUG